rnacentral:rRNA from 1 species
AGCAGUCGCCGCGGUAAUACGUAGGUGGCAAGUGUUGUCCGGAAUUAUUGGGCGUAAAGGGCUCGCAGGCGGUUUCUUAAGUCUGAUGUGAAAGCCCCCGGCUCAACCGGGGAGGGUCAUUGGAAACUGGGAAACUUGAGUGCAGAAGAGGAGAGCGGAAUUCCACGUGUAGCGGUGAAAUGCGUAGAGAUGUGGAGGAACACCAGUGGCGAAGGCGACUCUCUGGUCUGUAACUGACGCUGAGGAGCGAAAGCGUGGGGAGCGAACAGGAUUAGAUACCCCCGUAGUCCCUGUCUCUUAUAC